rnacentral:lncRNA from 1 species
GAGGGGUUCCUCCCUUCACCCUUUGAAGUGGGUGGGGGGCCGGACGCCCGCCACGCCUGAGUGCGGAGGGCGAGGGCGGGAGCAAGGCCACCACAAAGACUGCGAUUGUUAGCCGGCGGCGCACAGUGGGCGGGGCUCGGGGGCCAGCAAGGAAAUAAGGCUGCAGCCCCUCUCCCGGCUCCCGCCCCUUCUCCUUCCUCCCCGGCUCCAGCUGGUCCAGCUCCACAAGGAGGGACCGGUGGAGGAGCGCCCAGCAGGCCCAGAGGUGCACCUCUCCUGCUGGGUCAUCGGGCUGUGCAUGCCGAGGGUGGUGGUCAGGAGGCCAGGCCCCAGGUGUUCCAAGGGCACCUAGUUUCCACCAGGACUGGGUGAGGAGCAAGGAGAAAGCAGAUGACCAAAAUUGGGCCUAUGGGGAGUCCCAGAAUGUGGCCCAUCAGAGGUCUGGCAGCCUCAGGACAGGAGCCUCUGGGGCUGGAAGCCUGACAGCCAAGGCGCAGAAAAGUGGUCAGCCCCCUGGCUGCAGCAGGACAGCAAAUGGGGGAGCGACAGAGUACCCAGCUCAGGCUGGGUGGAGAGCCUCAGAGCCUGCCCCCAGACGGCCAGCGAUCAAAGAGAAGAGUGGAUCCAGGAAAAAUCGAGCUGCCAAGUGGUUGAUUGGCUUUGCCUCCAUCAGCCUGAUGAAUAUUCAUGAGGAUGUUCAGGCCGAGGGGGCGUCUCAAGGCUUCCUGGUGGACCCCAGGCCACCUGGAUGGACAUAUCUGAGCUGACCACACAGAGCGGACCACAGAGCCUGAGCCUAGCCGGGACCUGACUGACAGUCUGCCCGGAACCAAAACUCUGUGGGUGGAUCCGUGAUGCUAUCUCCCCUCCGUCCUUGCUGGCUUCACACGACGUCGAGGGGCUGAGAUAGAAAGUGAGUCAUUCCCAGCAAUUCUCAAGUCCCUGGAGAGCUCCCAGGAACACACACGAAUUCAAUAUUCUCAUCAGCUGCUGGGGAUCAUGCAAACCUGCUUUCUGCCAAACAGAAUAUUUGUGCGAUUACAGCAAAUCCCUGCGCACGGAG